UACGUAGGGUGCAAGCGUUGUCCGGAAUUAUUGGGCGUAAAGAGCUCGUAGGCGGUCUGUUGCGUCGGCUGUGAAAACCCGGGGCUCAACCCCGGGCCUGCAGCCGAUACGGGCAGACUAGAGUUCGGCAGGGGAGACUGGAAUUCCUGGUGUAGCGGUGAAAUGCGCAGAUAUCAGGAGGAACACCGGUGGCGAAGGCGGGUCUCUGGACAGUUCCUGACACUGAGGCACGAAGGCCAGGGGAGCAAACGGG
rnacentral:rRNA from 1 species